GGCAAUAGAAGAGCAGAGCAUGGUAGAUGGAAGUCUUUCCUCUGCCCAGGGGUCCUUGUUUCUACUAAUUUUCCUCCUAAGCUUCCACCAACACAGAUUUCAGUAAGAUAUAGAUAAGAAUUCCCUCCAUGUGGAGUGAAUAUUGAUGAAAUGCUCUGCACUGUGGAAAGCUUGGAAAGCUACUUCAUCAAACUGAAUACCGAAUUGCAUUUGGUAAAUUGCACAACUGCUGAUUGUUUACCCUUGUCUUUACAUUUUGGACACUUCUUGAUGGAAAUAGAGCAGCUGGAGUGAAUAUUCGCCUAAAACAAACAAGUAAUGAAAGGAAUGAAUGAAUGAAUGAAUGCUGGAUGUGAUGCUGAGCUCAAAGACCUUAACACAGCAUACCAAAAACUGUCCUGGCUGGAACAGACUCCUUGUUAAUCCAGAAAGACACCUGAGAAAGAAUGACUGUCAUAAUGCAAGGAGUGUAUAUCUGUAUCAUGAAGUAGCCCAUCUUCCUUUGCAAGUGGAAAUAAACUGUCAUGAUUACAUAUUCACCUGUUAAGAGACAAGUAUGUCAGCAUUAUUCUGGCAACAUGUGAGUGAACAUUAUUGGCUUAAACCCAACAUAAUAUGUUCUGAUGAAAUCACAGACCUCUUAGUGCAUAAUAAAAAUAAGCUGCUUAUAAAAAGGUAAAAUGACCUUAUGGAAACAGAGCAGAAUAAUAUUCAUUUUAUGCAUUGUUUUUACUGGGGUGGAGAAGCAGUGGGCAUUCUUAAGAAUCUCGUGAAAAAAUUUUGUGUUUGAUGGGACUGGACUGAAAAGCUGUCUUUUAAGAGACACUGGUUAGAGUGAUUAGAGUCUGUCCAAGGGUUUUACUUUUUAAAAUGGCAAAAGAUAAUUAAUUUCAUUAUAUAUGAAAAAAACCCUGUAAUUUAUUAUCAAGAUGUUCACAACACCAGUAGUUUCCACAUGGCUCCAUCUUACCUGUGUUAGAUUUAAUUGUUUCACUAGAUACAGUUUGUCCUAUGAGGUCAUACUGGAGAAGACUGGAAGAUUCCUGUGGUACUUCUACUGAAUGCAGUGGUCCUUUUUUCCAAGUAUAAAUUAUUUCACUUUUUGGAUAAGCAUCUGACAAAUAGAGGGUAAAAUGACCAUUACUAAUUAUGUAUUUUAUAAGGAAUUGAAAAAAUAAAUAGAAUAAUCCCUUUUGUAGCUCAAAUGCCCACAGGAACAUGCAUCCUACUCCAGUAAGUUCCUAACCUCAAGAAAAAGAAAAAGAAAAAGAAAAAGAAAAAGAAAAAGAAAAAGAAAAAGAAAAAGAAAAAGAAAAAGACACCAAUAAGAGAAUGGCUGAGGUGGGAUCUGAGAUGAGCUAGCUGUCACUUCUUAAUUUGCUAUAAAACAUACACAUUGAUUAUCACAGCUCAACCAAAUAUUUUCAAAAUUGGUUACCACAGACUCCAUAUUUUCAAAAUUAUAUGUAAUAUAGUAAAUGUAGCAGAGGUUUUAUGGUUCAUUGAAGGGCAAACUUUGACUAGCAGAAGUGUAAGAAUAAUAAACAAUAAAACAUGCUUCAGCAGUCACCCUUCAGUGAAUAAACCCAUGCCCAUAUGAAUGGUCUGAGUCUCAGAGAAAAAGGUAAAAUUCUAGUAUAAAAAUACAACUUAAAACUUCAGCUAUGUCACUAAGUUAUAUCUUAGGAUCUUCGACCAAAUGUGUUACUUUAAUAAAUUGAAAGAUAGAGAAAAACUUACAGCUUCCAAAUUUCAGUGGACAAGCAUGUCCAUCCAUUGGGAAGUUCACCAAGCGCAUAGGACAGUCAGCAUUAAUGGUUAGUCUAGAACACAGUUGAAGACAAUGAAAAAAUAUUGUAUGUAGGAAAAUUCUGAUAGAAUCAAAAAUACAGGUCAACCAAAAGCAGAACAAGCUCUCACCUCAUAGUGUAAAGAAUAGUUCCAUUCUGCAUAAUUCUGAAAAGUUUGUUAGGAGUUGUCAUAUUGUGAGCAAUUGAUUUUUUUCCAUUUCUAAAAAAUGUGUCUGGUGUCCAAAUUUUACUGACCAUUAAAUUGUUCAGUCUCAAAAUUUCUGUUGG